GCGGAGCGCAACUCGAACACGCUCAACCCGAAGCGCAUUCAACUCGAGGAUUGUCAAGUGUGGCGCUCCUUGAAUGUUGACCACAGAGGGAAGCUGAAGAAAAUCUUCACUGGUGUAACUCAGAGGAAAUACUUUCAAGGCUGUGAAAUCUGCUUCUGCCUUGAAGUGGGUCAGGAUGUUGAUUGUGCUCCCAGUACAGAGACCCCUGUUUGCCUAAAACCUGUUCAGUCUACCGGCAAUUUCUCAGUGACAACCACAUGCUGCUCCAUCCAUAUGUAAUCUUGUGCCAGGAAAGGCCACUUUCCUGAAAGGGAGGUAGACGACUUGCCAUUUUCCAGUAUAAAAAUAACUGGCUACAUGGAUUCUGCUGCGAAGGUAAUUAUGCACCUUCCAAAGGAUUUCUACCGUGGAUGUGUAAUAUAAUUGUCCUCACUGUGUGUGAGCAGACAUUACACACAGCCAGCAUCUGGUCUGGAUCUGUGACCAAUAUGGUAAAAGCUAUUGCUUGGCUCGGUAACAUGGGGACAGAGGGAAAGGAGCAAUUCUCAACUGAGGCAGAAGGUAGGACAUGAAGGAGGCAGAAAGUAAAGCUGAGGGAGAGGAAAAAGGCAGAAACUGGGGGCUUUUGAAAGCUCUGGCUGGAGUUGUUUAGGCUGCAAGUAGCAGCUUGUCUCUGUUCAGGGUAAUACUUCUUCAGCAACAUGCAGCACCUUAAAAUACCUGACAAUAGGAUGCCCUUGUGUCAUUAGUAUUUGAUAUUUCAAAACAUGGUGCAGAGCAGAGUUAAGGCACAGAUUAAAUGACAAUUUGGGGGGUGGGGGAAUUAAACUUUGAAAGAGAAAGCCAAUCCAAAAUGAAGCAGUAUUUCUACACUUUUUAAAAACUUUGGCUGUUAAGUAAGAUCUCCAGAGCCAGUCCUUUAAGUGAAUCAGUAGUUGGGGAAUCUUUAAAAUUGACAAGUGCUGAUUGUAAUAAUGAUUGUAACGUAAUACAUUGCAUUUUAAUUCCCUCCCCUCCUUAUUUUCCUGGAUUGUAGCUCAGUGAAGAGCCAGAUCACAUAUGUUUGCACAUCACUUACUGCUUUGUUGCACCAAGCAAUGACUUGCCUGUGUGCCAUCCCAGGUUAAGAAUGACAGAAUAUUUGUGCCACCCAAUGUUAAUUCAAAUACAAUAAUUUCCAAUGGACACAGAUCACACAUUUUCCUUAGAAUCAUAAUGUACUGCAUAAUCAAAUUGAGAGAGAUUAUGUCGCGAGCAGGUGUGUGUGAAUUAGCUGUUUCCUUAUUUCUCUUUUCCAGGGUCGAAUGGUUCUAAGGCAAGUUCUUCUGUGUUUUAUUGAAAUUUUCUCUCCCUUUUACUGUCUCCUGCUGCAGCAGUGCUAUCCUGUUGACCGCUAAAAGCAGGAAUUACACAUUUUUUAAUAUCCUUGCAAUUCGUUAUUUAAAUUAUCUGACCUCUGUUGUCUUAAUGAGCUUAACAGGAUUAUUUUUCCAUUUGAACAUUUUCUACUAGUAGGAAAUUCCCUCCGAAGGAUUACUUGUGUGCCGUCUUCCUAUGUAGCACUAUUAAUGUUGAUGACCAAAAGAUGGCAGCACUAUUUCCAUUGUCAUUGCCCUUCUGCUUUUCUGUAUAUAUACUAUUAAAGAAGAACCCGGAUACAACAAAGCUCCCAUCAAUGAGCAACAAGAAGGGAGUAGCUAAACUUGUGAGUUGUGCAUUUCAACUGCUUAGAGCACUUAGACCUAUACAUUGCUGGAUAAUGUAUUAAAGACUUCAUUUAAAACAAUUGCAUGUUACAUUAUAUACAGAAUUAUACCACUUUUUUUUUUUGUAAAAUUAGCAUGGAAAGAAAGAAAAAAUUCUAGCAAUUUUUCUUUAGUGGUCUACAAUUCUCUUUGAACCUAUGAUUUGACAAGUAAUAACCAUUUCACUUUUUAAAAGUCAUUUUGGGGAACCUGUCACCCUCCAUAUGUUAUUAGACUCCUAUCAUCUCUGACCAUUAGUCAUGCUGGCUGGGGCUGAUGGGGAAUCCAGCAACAUCUUUAGUGCUACAGGUUCUCCUCUCCUGCUUUUUAGAGGUUGCAGUUAGAUACAGAUCUCUUUUACAAGUCUGAUGUGGGCUUAAUCUGAGCCUAGUCACCUGGGUGCUUGAUUUGAUGUGAUGUUUAGAAGGGCUACCCCAGGCACCCCCAAUCGGUGGCCCUCCAGAUGUUUUGGCCUACAACUCCCAUGAUCCCUAGCUAACAGGACCAGUGGUCAGGGAUGACGGGAAUUGUAGUCCAAAACAUCUGGAGGGCCGAAGGUUGGCGAUGCCUGGGCUACCCCGAUAUAGUUUGCAACCUGAGGAAGAACUCGAAACAGAGCCCAUCCAAAAUCCAAAGCUGGUCAAGUUGUUUUGGUACCUGAGCCAGAAAAUCCCGCAAGUGCCUUAUCUUGUGAUUAAAAAUAUAAUAAUAUUUGUUGUUGUAGAUGAUGAUGAUGAAAAAAUGCUUACCUUUCAUG